rnacentral:misc_RNA from 1 species
GAUGAAGAACGCAGCGAAAUGCGAUAAGCAAUGUGAAUUGCAGAAUUCAGUGAAUCAUCGAAUCUUUGAACGCAUCUUGCGCUCCUUGGUAUUCUGAGGAGCAUGCCUGUUUGAGUGUCAUUAAAUUCUCAACUACACUGACUUUGAAUUGGUGUGGCUUGGAUUUGGGGGGAAAAUUGUUGUGGGCUUUUUGUAUAGUCUGCUCCCCUGAAAUUGAUUAGCGGUACCUUUGUGGAACUGUCUACAGGUGUGAUAAUUAUCUACAUCUUAGACAUCUGCUGGAAUGCUGCUCUCUAAACCUUACUUGUAUUGACAAUCUUGACCUCAAAUCAGGUAGGACUACCCGCUGAACUUAAGCAUAUCAAUAAGCGGAGGA